rnacentral:lncRNA from 1 species
AUGUCCCUCCUCAAUACUGUACACAGAUUAAGAACAUUAGCUACAGAUAAAUAUAUUCUAAGAACAUAACAGUUAUAAAUUCUAAAAUAGAACAUACAAAUGGAACAACCGACAAUUUAAAACAAGUCACGUAAAGAAAGUUAUCCGUACAUCAGUAACAUACAUACAUAAAUGAAUCAUAAAAUAAACUUAAGGGCAGGGGGAGCAAACUUCUAAUACUUAUAUAAACAAAAUCACCUAGGCACUAUGAUGACAGGACAUAUAAAACGACAAACAUCCUUGGUCCAUACACCGUAUAAUUUCAAGUACUCUCACCCGUGCGGGAACUCCUCCUGUCCGGCCCGUCGGCGGUGCUGCAUCUCCCGCCCAGCAUGUGUGAUCUGGCCUCAGGCAUUGAUGGAGCUAUGUGUGCCUUUGAUGGUGUGCAUAAAGAGAAAAUCCGUUGGCUCAUUUUAUGAAUUUUACAUUAAAGAAC